rnacentral:misc_RNA from 1 species
CAACCCAUCAAGCCCAGCGCUUGUGUUGGAGCCCUGCGGCCGCCGCAGCCUCCCAAAAUUAGUGGCGGGCUCGCUAUCACGCUGAGUGCAGUAGUAUUCUUCUCACUCCUGCGGUGUAGCGGGUAACCAGCCGUAAAACCCUUUUACCUAA